UUUUAAGAUCCAAACAAGUUAUGUGAAUUAAAACGUUGCGACUUCAACCUUUGCCAAGUGGUUUCUGGUAAAGCAGUAUGCUUUUGUCCAAGUGGAUAUUAUUUACAACAAAAUGGUUUAUCGUGUACAUAUGGCCACAGUACAAAACUAUCUGGUGCAUUUAUUGUUUUAAUCGUUUUUGGAGUUAUAUUCUGCGUGUUUUUAUUUGCUUUUUUUUGUGCAAUAUAUCUCCGAGGUAAACGUAAAUUCGAUCCUGUUACUGUGCAAUUUUACGCAACAACUCAAAGUGCGGUUGUACAAGGGGCGGCUCAAAAUCACUUAAAUAGUGUCGAUUUUCAGAUAGGAGUAAACAAUACGAUUGAUUCAAACAUUCUUUAUCCUUCAAAUGAGAUUGAAAUUGACAACGUAGCUCAUUUUAACAUGGCUCCUCCUCCGUAUGAACUAUUAGAACAAUCACUUUCUCUUAUUCUUAGUACUGAGUCUCCACCGGAAUACUCAAACUAAUUUAUUAUGAAAGAAAAGCUCCAUUGAUAUGAUCUUCCUUCAAAACCUUCGUUCAACCAAUGCUAAAUCUUCAAAAUGUUUUACCGAAACAUUUACUUAAAUAAAGAUUGUUCUUUAUAAUUUUUUAUAAUAACUGUUUAAAAAACAAGUAUUUAAUAAUAUCUUAAGGGAGCAUCCAUAAAGUACGUACGCAGUAAAACCACUGAUUUAGGACCCCCCUCCCUUCCCCUUGUACGCACCUGUAUGCUUUUGAACGCUCCAUCCACCCCCUUCUGCGUACGUACACAUUAUUUGAAAUCAACCCCCUACUCCCCGAUUCGUAAAGUUUUCAAAAGUUCCCUGUUUCAUAUCAUCGUAAUAAUUUUUUAAAUUCAU